rnacentral:rRNA from 1 species
ACGUACACUCCUACGGGAGGCAGCAGUGGGGAAUUUUGGACAAUGGGCGAAAGCCUGAUCCAGCCAUGCCGCGUGCAGGAUGAAGGCCUUCGGGUUGUAAACUGCUUUUGUACGGAACGAAACGGCCUUUUCUAAUAAAGAGGGCUAAUGACGGUAACGUAAGAAUAAGCACCGGCUAACUACGUGCCAGCAGCCGCGGUAAUACGUAGGGUGCAAGCGUUAAUCGGAAUUACUGGGCGUAAAGCGUGCGCAGGCGGUUAUGUAAGACAGUUGUGAAAUCCCCGGGCUCAACCUGGGAACUGCAUCUGUGACUGCAUAGCUAGAGUACGGUAGAGGGGGAUGGAAUUCCGCGUGUAGCAGUGAAAUGCGUAGAUAUGCGGAGGAACACCGAUGGCGAAGGCAAUCCCCUGGACCUGUACUGACGCUCAUGCACGAAAGCGUGGGGAGCAAACAGGAUUAGAUACCCUGGUAGUCCC